rnacentral:rRNA from 1 species
UUAGGACGAACGCUGGCGGCAUGCCUAACACAUGCAAGUCGAACGGGGGUAGCAAUACCCUAGUGGCGAACGGGUGAGUAACACAUAAGCAAUCUGCCCUUCACAGGGGGAUAACAGCGGGAAACUGCUGCUAAUACCGCAUAAGACCACGGUACCGCAUGGUACAGGGGUAAAAACGAAUCAGUGGUGAAGGAUGAGCUUAUGUCCCAUUAGCUAGUUGGUGAGAUAACAGCCCACCAAGGCGACGAUGGGUAGCCGACCUGAGAGGGUGAUCGGCCACACUGGAACUGAGACACGGUCCAGACUCCUACGGGAGGCAGCAGUGGGGAAUAUUGGGCAAUGGAGGAAAAACCUCUUACCCAGCAAUGCCGCGUGAGUGAAGAAGGUCUUCGGAUUGUAAAGCUCUUUGAUUGGGGACGAAGAAAGUGACGGUACCCAAAGAACAAGCCCCGGCUAACUACGUGCCAGCCGCUGC